AGGAAGUAGGGAGUUCCCUCUUUCUGGGAAGAGACUGGGGAAGGUGGACUGAAGAGAGCUACAGGGAUGGAAUUAAUCCCUGUGUGAGCCCUGAAAAGGGGGCAAGGCACAAAGAGGGAGUCCUCAGGGGCUGGUGGUCUAGCAGAGAAAGAAGGAGCUGGGAGGGCCUAGGGAGAAGCCAGAGGCCUGGGAACCAGAGGAGAGGCCAUAUUAAGCACAGGCAGCAGGGAAGUACCACAAGGGCCUUGGAGAUCAGAAGAGGCCCAGGGAAACAGCAAUGUGGUGGAAGGAGCAGACCUAUCUUGUUAAUACAGGGCCCCUGGGCUGGAACCCAGAGCUGAGGGUGGGCCUGGCUUCCCCCCUGCCCUGCGAAAGAGAUGUACAAGCCUGAUAUAAGGAUUAUUGAGCUCAGAACAGGAGAGACUUUAAAGUGGUCUGUCCAGAGGGCUGAGUCACGAGAACAGGUGGCUCACUGUGGGACUCGAGUGAUUGCUGGCAGGGGGUGCUACAGAGGCGAGAGCUGCCAUGAAGGGACACUCUAAUGAACCCAGACAGAUUGAAACAGUUGCUGUUCCAGUGCACACAAGAGAGUGAAGGAUCUGGAGAUGCCACACAGGGAGUCUGUACCUGUACAGGAGAUUUGGAGGACAUUUUUGUGUGAACUUGCUCCAGCUCACAAGAUGGCUUUUUUGGCUACAGGGAUUCAGUAGCCACUGUCCUACUUCACCACCCCAAUGUGAGUGCAUUGGUGGCAGCUCCUGCUGCUUCAGCAGCUGUGAACCUGGAGUUUCUCCACUGCCUGGUAGAGUGAAGGAUUCUGUUCUCCACCAUUGCAGGACUCACAACAUCGGUGCUGGCUUCUUCCGGCUGUUGUGUGGGGAAGAUUUGCCCUUUUGCAUGAGUUUAAGUGGGGAUUAAGUACUCCCUACACAGGAUUGAGUCCACCCAAAAGGUGAAAUACAACAUACAGGAAGCUGACAUUGCUGUUGGAUCCUGCGUUUUUCAAUUUCCUGACUUAAGUUCUGAUCCAAACCCACUGAAAUCAAGGGGCUCCUCCCUCUUGAUUUUAGUGAAUUUUGGAUCAGGCCCUUUUUGAAUUUCAAGUGCCCAGUCCUGCACUCUAGGAUCAAGGUCUAUCUAUGCAACCUUAAUGUUGCAUUUACAACUGGUUUUUUUGCAUUUAUUGUGCCAGAUUCUCAGUUGGAGCUUAGUCUUUCAAAGUGCUGAACAUUCUAACUCUGAUUCAGCAAAACAAUUAAGCACAUGCUUAACUUUAAGACCCUGAGUAGUUCCAUUGACUUGCAGUGGAACUGCUCAUAUGCCUAAAGUUAAGCACAUGCUUAGGGACUGAAUUCAUUCAUGAUGUAACUCCUCUGCAGUAGAUUGAGUAUCAUUAGAGAUGAAUCUACCCCUAAAUGCUUUGCUGGAGCAAGGCCAGAGUGCUCAGCAUUUUGCAGGAUGGGACCCCUGGUGCUAAUCGGUAUUACUCCAUUGACCCAGGCUUAUGAGAUGGCCUAAUGUAUUUCAUUCCUGUUAUGUGCAGUAUGGAGAAACAAGCUAUUCAGAUUCAAGUUAAACAUUGCAUCAGUAUUUGUAUUUUACUGACACUAUGUGUAUGCAAUUAUGGUACACAUCAUCGUGUUGCAAUGAUCUUUCCAGUUCUAGUAAUCUGUAAAUUUUUAUAUCAAUUACAUGUUCAGGAGUAAAAGUAGCUCAGCUAUUGCACAUAAACUGACAGAAUGAAAAACAAUUAAUUUUUGUUAUCUCUUCUUUCAAUCUUUUUCAGUUUGCUUCCUCCUUGAUCCCUCUUCAACACUUGAAAAGAACUAGACAUAUUUUGUCAUGUACUAAGGGGGAAAUUUACUCCUCUGCAGAGGACCUGCCCUGGGCAUAUGCAGCAAAGGCCACAAGCCCUUAAAAUAGGGCUGAUAUGUGAUUUAAGGGCAUUCUGCACAGGGGUGAAUUUCAUCCCAUCAAGUCCCACAGGAGGGUUAAUGGUGCAUAGGGCUGAUGUGGAUUUAAGGACGUUCUGCACAAGGGUGAAUUUAAUCAGAACUGACUACUGUGCAAACAUCCAAAAAUACUAACCUAACUACUGUGAAGCAGAUUAGACUCUAUCAAUACUAUAUGUGACACCUUAAAUCCACAGCAUUUACAAUUUGUUGCAAAUUGUUCAUUAAGUUUUCUAUAUAUACCUCCUGUUGCCACAGCACAGGAGGGACAGAUUAGGAUAACAUAAAAUAGUUAUAAAUAAACUUUAGGAAUUAAAACAGUGGGGUGCAAAAUGACUACCUUCAGGUUGAGAAAAAUAAGAUUUUUAAAGGAUUUAUACAAAGUCUAACAUAUCCUCUCCUUAGUGGUUUAUUGGUUUAAUUCUCAAACCAGGUGUGUUUGGUGCAUGUAGAGGGAGCUGAGCUAAGAAAGUAAUUGUCAACAGGUUCAGGAUGCGUGAAGAACUCAAAAUUACUGCAUCCGCCCCCUACAGAGAAAAUGGAUUAAUAAUUCUUCCCUCCCCCCCAGAAUGAGCUUGAAGUGACUUCACCUAUUUGUCCUCCCUUUGUGUCAGAACAUAAAGACAAAUUUCAAUUUAGUUCAGGUCAGUGAAUGUUAUGAUUAUUGUUGGUUUUAAGUAAUUUAUUUUCCUUGAUACGUAAUUUAUUCUGUAAUCGGAGAAGUAUACAACAUAGUUCCCUUUGCAGAUUUUUGGGAAGCUGCCAUCAAUUCCUGUAGCACUAUGAGUUCCUACUCACUCUGAGUGAAAUUCACACCCACACAAGGGCUAUGUACCAUUUAAGUUUCACUUAAACUAUAUGGACUUUCAAGGCUAUUUUUCUUGCUUGAAUUCUGAGAGGGUGAAUUUCACUCCUGUGCAGCACAAGGUCAAUGCACCGUUUAAAUUUCACUUAAGCCCUAAGGCAUUAGGUUGUUGGCUAACUUCUGGGAAACAUAAUGGUAGAAGUGGGUUAAAUGAGGUUUAAGUGCCACAUAGACCUUGUGCUGCUCCUUUUCCCAGGUGUGAAUUCCACCCAUUCAGAAUUCAAGCAAGAAAGACAGCCUUAAAAAGGGAACUGAAUUACAAGAGAGGAAAUGGAUAUUCUGGUAGAAAGGCCCUCUGUACAAAUUGUAAUCCUUUCAACUCUUCAUCUGCAGGGUCUGGAAUCAUCUGUCCUUCUUAAUUUGAGAAAACCUCAUGCGCCAACCAACUGGAAAUGUAACCUCUUGCUUUGCUCUUGUUUAAUUGAUUUGAGAAAAUAAUUAAAAGCAGAAUAUUGCAUAUAAAUGGUAGCACUCUCUCAAACUAGCGAAUGACUCUGAACGCUUAUGGUGAAUCAAACGUAGGCAGAUCAAUAGUCCCAGAGGGAGGUUAUUUAUUUGCAAAACAGUUAAUCUUUUAGGCUGUCACUUCUAAGUCUUUUUGACAGUUCAUGCUGUACUGAUACUAGUAAAAAUCUCGAGUCUGUAUUGAUUUAUUGAAGAUUUAAAGUAGAUUUGUUUCCAAAAGCUAUAUUCUCAAACAGCAAGAGGUACAGAUAUGUCGGUACAUUUGCAGUCAGACUCAAAUUCAGAUUUUUCUCGUGGUGAUGAACUUUUAGGAUAUAAUCUUCAAAAGUGACUUAGGCACAUUGGAAAAAUCCACCCUUAGGCUCCUACGUGUCAUGCCUAGGCAGCCAAGUUGGAAAGCACAGAGUAUUAUACUGAAGUGCACAUCCAUUAGUGCAGGGUAUCUUGCCACUGGCAAAAGCAGUACAAUAUGUUACACAUGCAUAUUUGAAAAAUUGUAUAUCAUAUUACUUUAUUUGAUAAACAGUACAUGAUCAUGGAAUUAGAGCGUGUCCUAAUCCACAGGUACAGUGGGAAGAAUUAACAUUCUCAUUCACUGACUUUUGUACUCACCAAGAUGCAAAUGUAACAUUCUCUUGUUGCAGGAUUAUUUUAAAUAGCUGUUAUAAAGAUUAAAGAGCAGGCACCAUAUUAUAAAUUCUUCCAGAACAUACAAGUUUCGAAGGUCUCCCCUUUCCCUUGGUUUGGUAGCAACCCAGAAAGGAGCUCCUGUUUUAAGAGCAAUGUAAGAUGUCAAAUUCAAAUAUGUGCCAUGUUUGGUGCAUUUACUAGACCUGGAAACUUUUAUUUAAACCAUCAGAGAAACACUCACAAUUAUGAGGCUCCCUUGUUUUUGAGAUGAAAAACAUGGCCAGCCUUGACUAUAAGGGCUGUCAAAUACUGAAGCUAUUCUUUAUUGCAUGUAUUCUGAACACAUUUCCGGUGCUUCUGUUAGCAACUGCUAGGUCUGCAUACUAGGAAUGACUGACAUUAUUCAAGGUCAACAUCGAGAAUUUGACCCUGGGAGUCUUGAAAGCAAUAUUUUUGGCAUUUCUCUGAGUGAUAUACAGAAAGACAGGAAUUAAUCAGUAGUAUUACAUACAAAAAUUUGUUGUAAGAAAAUGAAAAAUUUAAAAGUGGGGUUUUUGGAGGGGCUGUAUCCUGAAAUUGGAACAAGUAUCUUUUUUUCAUUAUUAUUUAACCUAUAUGGCACCUAGAGGCUGAGUAGGUCAGGGCCCUAUUGUGCUAUGUGCUGUACGAGUAUAAAGAAAAUGCAGUCCCGUACAAGAGUUUAUAAUCUAAAAAUACCUACCUCUUGGCUGCCACUUCUCCAUUUCCGCUUGCCUUGUUACUCUGAGUAGUAAGGGACGGAUUUCACCCUAAUUUAGUACCUCAUAUGUGAAAUCACUUGGUAUGUAACAGAAUUUUGGAGAAUCUAUUCAUAUGCUAUAGUCUCAUACAGAGAACACCAGUAGAUGCUGAAGAAGGGCAUUGAACUGUUGCACUGUAUGUCUUAAACAAAGUAGUGUUCAAUCAGACCUAUCUAUUACUGAAGAUAAUACAAAACACUUAACAUAGUCCAGCACCUGGGUUUUACACAUCUGGCUACCAGCAUUUUGGCAUACUUCAUCAACAGUUUUCCCCAGAUCUAAGUCUGUAAUUUAUGACCUUGGAAAAGUUCUUGAAAAUGGAUAUAUAAAUAUGAUUUUUUUUGAUGUUCAACUUGACAUCUCAGGACAUGUUUGUGGCAGACUAGGCUAGAAUUUCUCUUCCACCAGACUCUUACUCCUUAUCUGGCUACAUUUUUAACAAACGCAAGAGGCCUUUAAAUAUCCUUCCAGAACUGCUAAAAUACCACUAUUGGGUCAUAUUC